CCAUGCCAAAAACUUUUUGUAUUUUUUUUUAAUUUAUUGCGGCUCUGGUUACUAUUGGUCGUGGUUGACGUGGUUGACAACUAGGUUAGUAGUAGUAGUCUGUCUCUACUUGGUCUGUGAAAAUGUCUCUCAUGAGCACAAUUUUUGCAAGAGGAGACUGCAUGAAGACCAUUCCUAUGAAGUUCCAGAGAAACGUACAUGAGUCGAAAGUGAUGCACCUAUUUACUCCACCCCUCGACGCCCUAGACGAAGAAGGCGUGUGAUUGUCACGAAAAAAUCUCUGACAUAAAUUUGUGCAAGAAUUUACUCUGAGUACAUGAGAUCCAGAAAACAAUCCAUUAAAAAAUAAAAUAAUAAAUUGCA